CGGCUGUGCUGUUUCCGGAGUCAAGUAUUGAGGUGGGUUCUGCUGUGACAGGGCUGUUGGAAAGUCGCCCCAAAUCCUGUUGAAGGAGGCUGAUUAGGCCUGGUCUGUGGCAGAAUGGUGCCCAAGCAGGGACCUCUGGACAGUCUGGGAUGUCUUUGGCAUCUUCAUCUGCAUACCUUCUUUUGCUGCAGGAACACUCUGCUUGGACUGUCACCCUGAAUUGGGAGGCUCCUGGCACUUUGCCCUUCUGCUUGUUGACAUCCCCUGAAGGAGGAGUUCUCAGGACACAUCAGGUGAAUUCUAGCCAUAACAUCAGGCUCCAAAGAGUUUUCUAGCUAAUAAUGUCCACUAUUGAAGACGUUUCGUUCUUGUCUAUUUGCUGGAUGCCUGGGUUAGCAGAAGCUUGUCUAAGGAGUCACUGCCUGUGUUGAAGUGGGCUCUGCAGUGAAAUAGCUGUUGGGAAGUUACCCAAGCUCCUGUAAGUAACCUCACACUGGACUCCUUAGCAACCCCGAAGGAAGCUCAGUAGAUCCUCAAGUUGAAUGUCUGCACAGUUGGUACUUCAGUCUGCCAUUAAGUUCUAUUUCUGGUGGGUGUGUACGUGUGUGCGUACGUGUGUGUGUGUGUGUGUGUGUGUGUGUGUGUGUGUGUGUGUUACAAAUCUGUUGUUCUUCAGGGAUAACUUCCCCCUUUUGUGUCUCAGGGUGCUCAGUUGGGAGUUCCCUAAUCCUUCCCUCUUCUUACACUUAGCUGCCUGGAGUCAUGGCCUCAGCCAUGGCCUUGUGGAUAUUUUCUAGCUCACAUAAACAAUCCUGAGAGAACAUUCGUGGUCGUAACAGCAAGAAAGUUUAUGGGAAAAGAGGACACUGUGACUGUUGGUUCCAGGAGCUGAAGAUUGCCACCUGACCUUCAGAGAGCCCCCAGUCUCUCCCACUCCCCACCCCCCAUCCCUUGGAGCCUCCUCUUGCUUAUGCUUAUAUUGCCACUCCUGAAUAAAGUUUUCAGAGCUUGAUCAG
rnacentral:lncRNA from 1 species